rnacentral:rRNA from 1 species
CGUAAGAUUAGCUUGUUGGUAGGGUAAUGGCCUACCAAGGCAACGAUCUUUAGCUGGUCUGAGAGGACGAUCAGCCACAUUGGGACUGAGACACGGCCCAGACAUCUACGGAUGGCAGCAGUUAAGAAUAUUGGACAAUGGGGGCAACCCUGAUCCAGGUAUACCGCGUGUGUGAAGAAGGCCUUAGGGUUGUAAAGCACUUUAAUCAGAGAAGAAGCAUUUUAAGUUAAUACCUUAUUAUGUUGACGUUACCUGAAGAAUAAGGACCGGCUAACUCCGUGCCAGCAGCCGCGGUAAUACGGAGGGUCCAAGCGUUAAUCGGAAUUACUGGGCGUAAAGCGCGCGUAGGCGGUUUAGCAAGUUGUAUGUGAAAGCCCUGGGCUCAACCUAGGAACUGCAUCCAAAACUACUAAGCUAGAGUACGAGAGAGGAGAGUAGAAUUUCUGGUGUAGCGGUGAAAUGCGUAGAUAUCAGAAGGAAUACCAAUGGCGAAGGCAGCUCUCUGGCUCGUCACUGACGCUGAGGUGCGAAAGCGUGGGUAGCAAACAGGAUUAGAUACCCUGGUAGUCCACGCCGUAAACGAUGACAACUAGCCGUUGGGCAGAUUUAACUGUUCAGUGGCACAGCUAACGCAUUAAGUUGUCCGCCUGGGGAGUACGGCCGCAAGGCUAAAACUCAAAUGAAUUGACGGGGGCCCGCACAAGUGGUGGAGCAUGUGGUUUAAUUCGAUGCAACGCGAAGAACCUUACCAAUCCUUGAAAUCUAGCGAAGUUCGCAGAGAUGUGAAUGUGCCUUCGGGAACGCUAUGACAGGUGUUGCAUGGCUGUCGUCAGCUCGUGUCGUGAGAUGUAUGGUUAAGUCCAGUAACGAGCGCAACCCCUAUCCUUAUUGCCAGCGCGUAAUGGCGGGAA